rnacentral:misc_RNA from 1 species
GAUGAAGAACGUAGUGAAAUGCGAUACUUGGUGUGAAUUGCAGAAUCCCGUGAACCAUCGAGUCUUUGAACGCAAGUUGCGCCCGAAGCCAUUAGGCCGAGGGCACGCCUGCCUGGGCGUCACACGUCGUUGCCCCCCCCAUCUACUCCUUCGGGAUUGCGGGGGGCGGAUGAUGGCCUCCCGUGCGCCUCGCCGCGCGGUUGGCAUAAAUGCCAAGUCCUCGGCGACGCACGCCACGACAAUCGGUGGUUGCGAAACCUCGGUUGCCCGUCGUGUGCGGUCGUCGCGCAUCGAGGGCUCGAAAAAAUUGCCGAGUUCCGGCUCGGCUUUCAACGCGACCCCAGGUCAGGCGGGGUUACCCGCUGAAUUUAAGCAUAUAAUAAGCGGAGGA